rnacentral:rRNA from 1 species
CAGAUCACGUGUGCCAGCAGCCGCGGUAAUACGUAGGGGGCAAGCGUUAUCCGGAUUUACUGGGUGUAAAGGGAGCGUAGACGGCAUGGCAAGCCAGAUGUGAAAGCCCGGGGCUCAACCCCGGGACUGCAUUUGGAACUGUCAGGCUAGAGUGUCGGAGAGGAAAGCGGAAUUCCUAGUGUAGCGGUGAAAUGCGUAGAUAUUAGGAGGAACACCAGUGGCGAAGGCGGCUUUCUGGACGAUGACUGACGUUGAGGCUCGAAAGCGUGGGGAGCAAACAGG